rnacentral:misc_RNA from 1 species
CAGGACUACUUCAGCUGGUUUUGAUCCGGAGGCAUUGGAGAGAGGGGCUAAGGCAUUGAGGGAGAUUAAUAAUUCCAAAAGUGCCAAACAGGUUUUUGAUGUGAUUAAAAAGCAAGAAGAGACAAGGCAAGCAGAGUUAACUGCAAAAAUGCAAGAGUUUAAAGCACUGCAAGCUCAAGCUGAGACGGAGAGACAAAGGGUUGUAUAUGAUGAACAAAAGAAACUAGCUCAGCAACAGGCUCAAAUCAAGUCACAGAUGGCUAGAUAUGAAGAUGAAUUAGCAAGGAAACGGAUGCAGGCAGAAAAUGAGCAUCACAGAGCUAGGAAUCAGG